AUGGAUGAGGAGCGCGCCCUCUACAUCGUCCGGGCCGGCGAGGCGGGGGCUAUCGAGCGGGUCCUGAGGGAUUACAGCGAUAAGCAUAGGGCUACUUUCAAAUUUGAAUCAACAGAUGAAGAUAAAAGAAAGAAACUCUGUGAAGGCAUAUUUAAAGUCCUUUUAAAGGACAUCCCAACAACAUGUCAAGUGUCCUGCCUGGAAGUCCUCCGCAUUCUCUCCAGAGACAAAAAGGUUUUAGUUCCUGUAACAACUAAGGAAAAUAUGCAGAUACUGCUGCGACUAGCCAAGCUAAAUGAGUCGGAUGAUUCUUUGGAGAAGGUGUCAGAGUUCCCAGUUAUUGUGGAGUCAUUAAAAUGUCUUUGUAACAUAGUGUUCAACAGUCAGAUGGCACAGCAGCUCAGCCUGGAACUUAACCUUGCUGCAAAGCUCUGUAACCUCCUGAGAAAGUGCAAGGACCGAAAGUUUAUCAAUGACAUUAAGUGCUUUGACUUGCGCUUGCUCUUCGUCCUGUCACUUUUGCACACUGACAUCAGGUCACAAUUGCGCUAUGAGCUCCAAGGACUACCGCUGCUAACCCAGAUCUUGGAAAGUGCCUUUAGCAUCAAGUGGACCGAUGAAUAUGAAUCGGCCAUAGACCGUAAUGGACCUCCUCUCUCACCUCAGGAGACAGACUGUGCCAUUGAGGCCCUCAAAGCUCUCUUCAAUGUGACGGUAGACAGUUGGAAGGUGCAUAAAGAGGGUGAUUCUCAUCAGUUUCGUGUCAUGGCAGCUGUUCUUCGCCAUUGUUUACUAAUCGUAGGUCCAACUGAAGACAAAACAGAAGAGCUACACAGCAAUGCAGUCAACCUUUUAAGCAAUGUUCCAGUCUCUUGUUUGGAUGUUCUCAUUUGUCCAUUAACCCAUGAAGAAACAGCCCCAGAAGCAACGACGCUAGAUGAACUGCCCAGUGAUAAAACAGCUGAGAAAGAAACAGUUUUGAAAAAUAAUACCAUGGUAUACAAUGGUAUGAAUAUGGAGGCCAUUCAUGUUUUACUCAGUUUUAUGGAGAAGAGAAUAGACAAGGGAAGCAGCUAUAGAGAGGGUCUGACUCCAGUUCUCAGCUUAUUAACAGAAUGUUCCCGAGCCCAUCGAAACAUCAGAAAAUUUCUCAAAGAUCAGGUUUUACCACCAUUGAGGGAUGUGACAAAUCGACCUGAAGUUGGCUCAACGGUGAGAAAUAAGCUGGUGCGCCUCAUGACACAUGUUGACCUGGGAGUCAAGCAAAUUGCUGCUGAAUUCCUUUUUGUCCUUUGCAAAGAGAGAGUGGAUAGCCUGCUGAAAUACACUGGCUAUGGGAAUGCUGCAGGACUGUUGGCGGCCAGGGGCCUCUUGGCUGGAGGAAGAGGAGAUAAUUGGUACUCAGAGGACGAGGACACAGACACUGAAGAAUACAAAAAUGCAAAACCAAACAUUAAUCUUAUCACUGGUCAUUUAGAGGAACCAAUGCCAAACCCCAUAGAUGAAAUGACAGAAGAACAAAAAGAAUAUGAAGCCAUGAAACUUGUCAACAUGCUUGAUAAACUUUCCAGUACACAGAGCAGACAAGAAAGAAGAGCCCUUGAAAACAAGGGAAUGAUUUUUGAGUCGUUAUCAAGCUAAGUGGCAAGCGGGAAGCUGAAACUCGUAUAGUUGAACAUUCUUGGAGGCUUAUCUCUUCCCUGGCCAGAUGCCUGAUCAGAUGAGAAGCCCGCCAUGAUACUGUCACAGUGCCUAGAAUGGGCUCUUUAUCCAGUAGACAUCACUGUACUUUUUGAUGAUAACGAGGGCAGUCUUAACUUGUGUUAAGGCCUGUGUAUAGCAUUGAAGAGAGGAGUUGCUUAAACCAAUGGGACUAAAACCUGAUGGGACAAUAACGCCUUUGGAGGAAGCACUCAACCAGUACUCUGUCAUCGAGGAGACCAGCUCUGACACAGACUAAAAGCAUCACCUGCUCAACUCUCAGUAUUGCUUUUAUCAGCAUCUUUUCUCUGUAGCUCCAGGGGAAUCUUUUCUCUAAAACAUUUAUGCCCUUGCUUUGGCUAGAAACACAUUAACUGGUUUACUCAUUGAGAAUCCAGCAUAUUUAAGAAGUGAUCCUGUGUUUUUGCGAUAUUGAGGCAUUCAUACAGAGCUGCAGUUAGACGGAGUUGCAGAGACUAGGAACAGAAAAAACAAAAUUCCAUUUUGUCAAGAUGGAACUGAAGGACUUCACUCUAUAAAGCAGCCCUGGUUGAAUCUGGCAGUUCUGUUUGCCAAGAUUCUUAACAGAAGAUUUAGCCGUGUCCUUCCUCUCACUUGUGUGAGCUGCCCUUUCUGAAUCUCUCCAGAGACGGAGGCAUGUGAGAAGCAGAACGAGCUGCUGAAAAGGGGCUGAGGCAAGUGACUUGUUAGAUCAGGACUGAGUGAAUGGAAGCCACGCAGCUGCUCCAUAGACGUAGCCCCAGUCUUCAUUUCAAUUUUGUAUAAAUCUAUAGAAAUGCACACACACGCACACACACACACACAACAGCCCCAGACUUGCAAACUGAUUAUAUUCAAAAAGUUUGUAUGUCAGUUAUCUAGAACUUCAGAAUACAUUUCUCCCUAUAAAGUUAUAAAUGAUGGUUUAGUUCUGAGGCAGCUAAAUGCCUAUUUAUUCCCUAAUAACCUGAACACUAGUACCAUAGAACUGAACCCCCAUCUGUAUCACUGCAUGGGGAGCAUGCAUUCUGAGGUCUAACGUAGGGGUGCCUCCAACCCGUUAGAGGGAAUGGGGACCCCCUGGGUACAGGGGGUUCUUUUGAGCCCUCUGAUGAGGGUGGGGGAGUCAGCAGCACCCAUUUGUACAUAUAGGUCACUCAUAUGUCACAUGUUUUAAAUUGGGGACUGUGUGUGCUUGUGUGUGUGUCCUAACUUUCUACCAUAUGUGAUCAGUUUAAUGGUAACUUUAUUUAUUUAAAAAAGAAACACAAAUAGUUACUGUUAAACUGAUUAAGGCUGUUUAUUUUUACUUUUAGAAUUGGUCAUAUGAAGAAGUAGAAAAUGAAUCAUGCAGUAUAGACAGUGGGCCUAGUUAAUCAAUGGCUAAAGUUGAAAAGGGGUUGGUUUCCUUUUAUAUAUAUAUAUAUGUAUGUAUGUAUAUACAUAUAUAUAUAUACACACACAUAAUGUGCUUAACCACUGCCUUUUAAAACUUUAAAUUAAAUAAAACAUUGGGGUUGAUUCAAUUUAGCUAUCUGUGUGUGUUUCUUUAUAGGUACACGGGGUAAACAAUCCUAUUUCACAGUUUAUGCUUUUUUAAAGUGCUUUUACAUCUAUUAUCUCACUUAUAAUAAAUAAUAGCCUUUCUAAGGAUAAAGCACAUGAAGUAUUAGUGAAAAUGUCGUGUACCCAGAAGUCACUUCUCUGGCAAAAGUACAAAUCAGGAAUUCAGUUUUAAAAAGCCUUAGAGCUGCCAAAAGAGAUGGCAAAGUUUCUUAAAAUUUAUUUAUAGGAGAGAUCCUCAAGAAUCUCACCUUUUGCCUCUUUACUAAAAUUUGCAUAUAUUUCUAACAUGUUUAGUUAUCUGACUUCCAAGCCCACAAAAAAAAUGGCAAAGGAGGAGGCUGUUAGAUGGAAAGCAGACCUACUGAAAGCAGCAAAAAGCCAACUGAAAACCGGAUAGCAACGUGGGGAGAAUGAAAACUACUCAAGGCGUCAUAAGUCUGGGACCAUCUGUUUCCUAAAGGACAUUCUAGUCGACCCAGAAAGUAUCUGUACAACAGUAUGGCCUACAAACUAAUUCUCAUAACGAUGACCUUGUGUUUCUUUUAAAAAAUAGGAAUACUCUAUAAAAAGACUAGGAAGAAUACAUUUUAGGAUUUUUAUCCAAAAUAGUUGGAGUAUAAGUUAUGCGUGACCCAUGUUUUAACAGUAAAUAAAAUGAAACUUGGUAAUUCAUAAUUUUAGAUUAAGUGAAAAAAAGUUUAGAAAAAAGAAUUUAAGUAUUUUUGUUACUUCAUUCUACAAAUGCAUUUUUAAAGUAUUUUUAUAAUUUCUGCAAUUAAAUAGCUUUGGCAUGAGUGUCAGCUUACCUAAAUGAAGACAUGUUUAAUGAAAUACCAUCUUGCCAGCUUUAUGCAGAGUGUUUGAACAGUCCUGUUUAAGUAGCUGUGCUCUUCUGCUUUCAGUGAGUUGUGUUUCAUUUUGAGUUUCCCCAUACUCGGCACUAAGCUUUGUUUUGAAGAGAGAAUUUGCAGAGGGAGAAGGUGAAAGUGACCUCAUCUUGCACACGGAAAGAGAACUAACAUCUAUUGAUUGCUUGCUCUGUGCUGGGCUUUUUAUGUAUCUUAUCUUGUGUAACCUCAUCACAUCUCAUAUUAAGAGAUCAUUUCUGGAAAGCAAAGUAAGUUACCCAACAUCACAGAGCAAGUAAAAAUACAACUCUGGCCGGCCUGACCCCCAGCACCUCUCCUUCCCCUUCACGCUGCCCACCUGGGUCCAUGUUGUGCCCCCUUAGGACUCUGGAAUGCUGGGAGAGUGGUAAUUCUCAGGCCAUUUUAAGCAAUAACUAUUUCAGCAGAACUGGUUUAAAGAACUUAUUAAGCAGGGAGGUGACCUGAAUGAAGCUGAAGUGUGAGUAGGAAACUUGCUCAGUUAGUACUGGAUUUCAAAUAAGGACCUGGAAUCCUUUAGGUCAGAGAUGAGGGCUGCAGGCUCCCCCCCAGGCCCUCCCCCCCACCGCCACCCUGACCCUCGACAUCUGCCUGGCUCAGUGGCCUGCAGUGGGGAUGGUGAGAAUACACUGGCCAACUGCACUCUGCAGGCCCCUGUGUCCACAUCCCUCCCAACCUUUAAAACAGGGUAUGGAGGAACGGGUUCUAAAAUAAGGCGCUUGAGCUGCUGCUUUAGAGUAACAGUCGACAGACACUUGAGGCCCCUUCCCACACCGGGUGGUCCUGGCAGGUGCACAGGACAGAUGUUAUUGUCCCUCCUUUAUAAAUGAAGACAUAGGCAGAGGCAGUACAAGUACUCAACAUCCCCUUACUACCAUCAGUCUUGCCGCCUCCCAGUACUAGGUGUCUCUUCUAUUGACUUCCCUUCCCCUCCCCCCCAUUAUAAAAGUAAUAUAUGUUCAUUGUGGAAAGUUUGGAGAAUACAGGAAAUAAUAAAGUUAAUAAUUCACCCCAAAACCCACCACCUGAGAUAAUCUUUGUUAAUGUUUUGGUGUAUUUCCGUCCAGUGUUUUUUCUAUGCAUAUAUAAUUUAUUUUACUACAAGAUUGGGAUCAUGCUGUAUUUACAGAUUUGUACCCUGCUUUCUUCUUUAACAUAUUGUAAGCAU